AGAAGUUUCAUGUUUAGUUUGGAAAGUUUUUAUUUUAUUUUAGGUACAGCGCGCGCCAGAUUGACGAGACAUCACGUGACACGGGUUUAUAAUAACGAAAAGAUAGUCUUUUUAUUUCUUUUUAGGUGGGGACGUUAAACAGACAACAUCUAUAGAGAUGGAAUGUACACAAUGUAAUUUCUUUUGUCAUUGUAGGAAAUUGACAUUUUGAUGACAGUUCACAAGCAGUGCAUGUUUUGGAUUUAAUUGAUCCGGUGUAACUUUAAAACACAUUUAUUGAUUAUUUUCUGAUAUUGUACAUUUUUCAGCACCUGUUUGUAACACAGAUUAGUAUUUCAAACUCGGAGCGGACAUUUUAUUGUAGGUUUUUACUGAGAUUUACGGACCUAGCAAGCGAUUUUUACGGCAUUGCCAUUUUCUUUUCUCUAGGAAAAGCUUUGAGAGAUAUCUGCACCAAGUUUUUUUAUAAACUUUAGUACAUGUAUGCCCUGCUGACUGCAAAUUUUGAGGUCGAUUGUACUUGUAGUUUCAGAGAACAUGUGGAUUUUUUUUCAGAAGUGACGUAAGAA
rnacentral:lncRNA from 1 species